UGGCUCAGAACGAACGCUGGCGGCAAGCUUAACACAUGCAAGUCGAACGGAUUAUCUUUUAUAGCUUGCUAUAAAACAUAAUUAGUGGCAGACGGGUGAGUAAUGCAUAGGAAUCUACCUAGUAGUAUGGGAUAGCCACUAGAAAUGGUGGGUAAUACUGUAUAAUCCCUGCGGGGGAAAGAUUUAUCGCUAUUAGAUGAGCCUAUGUUAGAUUAGCUAGUUGGUAGGGUAAAGGCCUACCAAGGCGAUGAUCUAUAGCUGGUCUGAGAGGAUGAUCACCCACACUGGAACUGAGAUACGGUCCACACUCCUACGGGAGGCAGCAGUGGGGAAUAUUGGACAAUGGGCGCAAGCCUGAUCCAGCUAUGCCGCGUGAGUGAAGAAGGCCUUAGGGUUGUAAAACUCUUUCAGUAGGGAAGAUAAUGACGGUACCUACAGAAGAAGUCCCGGCAAACUCCGUGCCAGCAGCCGCGGUAAUACGGAGGGGGCAAGCGUUGUUCGGAAUUAUUGGGCGUAAAGGGCAUGUACGCGGUUCGGUAAGUUAAAGGUGAAAUGCCAGGGCUUAACCCUGGAGCUGCUUUUAAUACUGCCAGACUAGAGUCCGGGAGAGGAUAGCGGAAU
rnacentral:rRNA from 1 species